GAUGAACGCUGGCGGCGUGCCUAAUACAUGCAAGUCGAGCGAACAGAUGAGGAGCUUGCUCCUCUGACGUUAGCGGCGGACGGGUGAGUAACACGUGGAUAACCUACCUAUAAGACUGGGAUAACUUCGGGAAACCGGAGCUAAUACCGGAUAAUAUAUUGAACCGUAUGGUUCAAUAGUGAAAGACGGUUUUGCUGUCAGUUAUCGCUUGAUCUUCGCCGCAUUAGCUGGUUGGUAAUGUAACGGCUUACCAAGGGAACGAGGCGUAGCCGACCUGAGAGGGUGAUCGGCCACACGGGAGCUGAGACACGGCCCAGACUCCUACGGUAGGCCGCAGAAGGGAAUCUUCCGCAAUGGGCGAAAGCCUUGCGGAGCAACGCCGAGUGAGUUAUGAAGGUCUUCGGAUCGUAAAACUCUGUUAUUAGGGAAGAACAAAUGUGUAAGUAACUAAGCACGUCUUGACGGUACCUAAUCAGAAAGCCACGGCUAACUACGUG
rnacentral:rRNA from 1 species